UACGGAGGGUGCAAGCGUUAUCCGGAUUCACUGGGUUUAAAGGGUGCGUAGGCGGGUAAGUAAGUCCGUGGUGAAAUCUCUGAGCUUAACUCAGAAACUGCCGUGGAUACUAUUUGCCUUGAAUAUUGUGGAGGUGAGCGGAAUAUGUCAUGUAGCGGUGAAAUGCUUAGAUAUGACAUAGAACACCCAUUGCGAAGGCAGCUCGCUACACUAUUAUUGACGCUGAGGCACGAAAGCGUGGGGAUCAAACAGG
rnacentral:rRNA from 1 species